rnacentral:rRNA from 1 species
UACGAAGGGGGCUAGCGUUGCUCGGAAUCACUGGGCGUAAAGCGCACGUAGGCGGAUUGCUAAGUCAGGGGUGAAAUCCUGGAGCUCAACUCCAGAACUGCCUUUGAUACUGGCGAUCUUGAGUCCGGGAGAGGUGAGUGGAACUCCGAGUGUAGAGGUGAAAUUCGUAGAUAUUGGGAAGAACACCGGUGGCGAAGGCGGCGACCUGGUCCGAUACUGACGCUGAGGCGCGAAAGCGUGGGGAGCAAACAGG